CACAGGCCUGUCCGCCGCUUAGAAUCGGCAGCGCAACCGCCGGGUGUGCUGUAUGUCACGGGGAGAGCCCACCCGGUGCUGCCGCUGCCCGCGGGCGGAACCCGGCCGUGGGCCAAGGACAGCGCUCCUGCAUGGGCCUCAGGGUGGCGGCUGGACCCGUGCCGCUGCGAGGGAAAGCCCUCUGCCCGCAUCAGGAAUGGCGCAGGCACGGUGAUCUGAGGGGGGGGGGGGGGGGGUAGUGUGAAACUCCUUGUUUGAGCAGGCAGAAAGGCUCAGCUGAAAAACAGGGGACAGUCCUGAUUGAAUUAGUUUACCUGAAGUCAGCCUUUAAGUCAUUCUCCCCACACUUUGGAAGAUGCUUUGGCAUAGAGGAGUGGCUGGAGCCUAAUGAGUCAUUACCCAGCUGAUGAUAAUGAACUGUUUGUGGAUUGAAGAAAAGAAACAUGAGACUGCUAUGUUUAACUUGCAGGAAGAGACCAAAGCAGAGGAAUUUAAAUACUUCAACCCUAAGUAACUCAGAGCACACUUUAAUGAUCAUCUCCUUCCUUCACGAAGGAAGAGGAUGGAAGAAAAGGAGAUGGGAGGCUGAAGGAAAACGAAGUAACACAUUAUGUAGUUUGCAUUAUGGUGUUGGAAUGUUUAACGCUCUUGAUGGCAAUAGUUCCGGCCUGUGUAUAUUUCGGCAAGACCACUGGCAGAAAUAGCCUUUGAGACCAGUGAAGUAAUUUUAUAUUCAGAGAGAAGAAUGACUGAUGUAACUCAUUAACUGGACUUUGAUCACCGUUUACCCAACUACACAAAUUGAGGAGCAUCAAGAGAAGUCUCAAAAUUCUCACCUGUCUGCAAGCACCAAAAUUAAUAUUCUUUCUCUGAGAACUGGCAAGUAAAAAUGUUAAACAUGCAGAGAUAUGUUUAGAUUUUUAAAAAUUAAGUAAAUCAAAUUGUCACUCGAGUGCAUGAAAAUGUACUGUUAAUUAUAUUUUCUCUUUUAAACUAUCAAAAUGUUUAUGUGCUUGUGUUGCAUGUUGGAUUUUCCAUUCAGCUAGAUGUUUCAGGUCACCAGCAACUGAUCCUGACUUCCCUCCAAUCAUCACCCCAAGAAAGAAUGAACUUUGACGAAACUAGAUGGGCUCAGCAGUAACCAUACAAGUUCUCUGAUGUCAUCAGCUGGCAACAGUCCAACAGUACACACUGUCUGUCCUGGUCUGAAAGACUGUUAUGAGAGAUGGAGCCUGACAUCAAUGGACUGGAUGAAGUAUAUUGAAAAAUGUGGGAUCUGAGCAUGAUGUGAAUGGUAUGGAAUAAGGAGUGGAUACUGUCCUGGGUUCAGCUAUAGCAGUCAUUUUUCUUCUUCUUAGUAGCUGGUGCAGUGCUGUGUUUUUGACUUUCAGCCUGGGUACAAUGCUGAUAACACCGAUGUUUUUAGUUGUUGCUAAGUAAUGUUUACUCUGACCAAGGACUUUCUGAGUCUCAUGUUCUGCCAGGGAGGAGGGGAAGCUGGGAGGAAGCGGAGACAGGACACCUGACCCAAACUAGCCAAAGGGGUAUUCCAUACCACAGCACAUCAUGCCCACUAUAUAAACUGGGGGCAGUUACCUGUAAGGCCCAGAUUGCUGCUGGGGUUGGGCUGGGUAUCAGUUGGUGGAUGGUGAGCAAUUGUAUUCUCUUCCCUUGUUAUUCCCCUUAUUAUUAUUGGUUGUAGCAGUAGUGGGUUUAUGUUAUACUUUAAUUACUGGACUGUUCUUAUCUCAACCUGUGGGAGUUAUAUUCUUUCGAUUCUCCUCCCAAUCACUCCAGGAGCUGUGGGGGAAGGGGGGGGAGUGAGAGAGCAGCUGCAUGGUUUUGAGUUACUGGCUGGGCUUAAACUGUGACAAAUUGCUCACAGAAAGACACACACCUUAAAAAUUCCCUCAGAACGCACGUUACUGGUGACUGCUGUUGUAAUAGGCAGGAUUUUCUAUGGUUCUUGUUCCUUUCUAUUAUGGGAUGGCCACACAAAUUUAAUCUAGAUCUCAAAAUUCUUUUCUAUUUAUUAAUCAAACCAAUUUUUGAACAACACACUUGUAAAUAGUACCUCUCUGAAAUAUAUAUACACCCUUAAUUCAUUUAAUCCUACAUCAGAGGAACCACAUAGGUCUCCUAACAGCUGGCUGACCAGUUUUUAGUCUAAAGCUUCUUUCAAACUCUUUUCAGGAUUUGUAUAAAGGACCUCAUAUAUGUAUCUAAUAAAAAAAAUUGUUAUGGCCA
rnacentral:lncRNA from 14 species